rnacentral:rRNA from 1 species
GAUGAACGCUGGCGGCGUGCCUAAUACAUGCAAGUCGAGCGAACAGACGAGGAGCUUGCUCCUCUGACGUUAGCGGCGGACGGGUGAGUAACACGUGGAUAACCUACCUAUAAGACUGGGAUAACUUCGGGAAACCGGAGCUAAUACCGGAUAAUAUAUUGAACCGCAUGGUUCAAUAGUGAAAGACGGUUUUGCUGUCACUUAUAGAUGGAUCCGCGCCGCAUUAGCUAGUUGGUAAGGUAACGGCUUACCAAGGCAACGAUGCGUAGCCGACCUGAGAGGGUGAUCGGCCACACUGAAACUGAGACACGGUCCAGACUCCUACGGGAGGCAGCAGUAGGGAAUCUUCCGCAAUGGGCGAAAGCCUGACGGAGCAACGCCGCGUGAGUGAUGAAGGUCUUCGGAUCGUAAAACUCUGUUAUUAGGGAAGAACAAAUGUGUAAGUAACUAUGCAUGUCUUGACGGUACCUAAUCAGAAAGCCACGGCUAACUACGUG